UGGGUUUCAGUGAGAUGUUUCUUCCUUCCCUUCAAAUCCUUAUGAAAGAAGGUGAUCAUUCCAUCCACGGCCAUACAAUUGAAUUGAUUUAGUCUUAUCUGAUCUGCAUUCUAUAUCCCUGCUACAUGUCCGUCACUACAUAUGGCAUUUUUGAUUUCAACACAAGACUUUUUGACUUAAUAAGAGGUGUAUCCUACCAUGAAGGCACUUUUACAUUUGUCAUCAUGCCUACUCCCACAAGCAAUGUCCGCUCUGUCCAGCAAUGACAAGUUAAUAGACUGAUCUUCAGUGCUGUGCUAAACAGGGACUCACAUCUAUUAUUAAUCCUGGUCAUUUGAUUCCCCCCCUCAAUUGCCAUAGUCAUGUGGUGAUUAUUGCAAUAUGUCUCAGUUUGUCAACAACAUUAUCAUUCAGAAUUGAAUUAGGCUGCUAAGACAGGGUAAUCAUGAUGUGGCAAUUAUUACCUGAUACUGCCAUGACAAGCUAAUGACUACUGUUUCUGUGUUACCUUUCACAAAUCAAUAUCUAUUCAUUGUGACGGCUUGAGUACAAACAGCUCCGUGUUUGCACUGGAAUUUCUAGAAAUUAGUGUAUUUGGCUGCAGGGUAUUUUUGCUCCUGUGUUUACCACUAACAUUUUAUCUCAAGAAAAUAGCUAAUGUAGGAUAAGUUUGAAGGAAGUGUCUGGAAAGUUAUCGUUAAAAUUAUGUUUGAAUCAGGCCCGAACUGGAUCAGGAGAGCCAGGAUAUCACCCUGAUGUCUGAGGUGGUUGUAGGGUGUAGUGAUUUGAAAUGAGCCUCAUACGGUCGCACCAAAAUAUAUGUAGCGAUUUGAAAUGAGCCUCACAAGGCCGCACCAAAAUAUACUUGGCGAUUGGAAUUUAUAAUAAAUGUCUGAAGAUUAAUAAUCUCAAAUUAUGACAUUUAUGCACUCGUUGAAAGGGGCACCACCCACCCUUAAUGGUGGGAAAAUAAAGAAAACAAAAGUUUAAUUCAGAAAUCAAACAUCAAGUCAGUUUUAAUUAAUCAGUCUUAAUUAAUCAGUCUUAAUUAAUCAGUCUCAUAUCUUAAGUCGAAAUUCUAAUUUCAGGGACUCCACUUCUGGAAGAACACUAACAGUCAAGAACUUAGAAAAAUAAUGAUCUGUUUAUUACAGGAUAAAUGAUGGUACAACACACAUGCAAUAAAUGAUGAUAAGAUAAUGAAGAUAAAAUAAUAAUAGGUGAAUAAAUAAAGAUUCUGAGUCAGGCUAGGAGCACUAAAGUUAAUGAUAGUGAGUGAAUAUGCGCUAACAUAUUAACCUACACUAACUUUGGUGUCGAGAUAAACUCGGAUGUGGAUUUGGAGGAAUCUAAGAUCACCAGAAAUAGGUGGAUAUCUGAGUUAUGAACGCAUGAGACAGCACCAGCCCUCUCUGGAGCUCUGGAGGUUUGCAUACUUAAGUGAGACUGGUCCUUGGAGAAGAUGGAGCAGGUUCCGAAGGUCCGGGGCUACUGGCGGUUCGAGCGGUUCAGCUCAGAAGACGACUGAAGUCAGCCGAAGGAUGAGCCAGGAGUUGCAGCACUCGGGCCCGAAGCAAAGCCAGCGCCUGUGGAUCCUGUGGAUGCUCGUUUGGGUACUUCUUUGGUCUCACUCAAAAACUCUGGCACAGAGGAUGACCUGGGCCUGCUGGGUUGCGUUCAGAGGUGACUUUGAAUCACGCAGAAAACUCAGAAAAACGAGGCUCAAAGAGCAGAGAAAACUUUCAAAAAUGGCUUCGCGAAAUUAAAGAAAAAUCAAUCAAAGGCUUAAUCUUGAAUUGCUAUGUGCACAAAAAGUUGAAGUUUCAAAACUUGAACUAAGACGAUGUUAAAGAAAAAUCAACGUGAAUCAACACGUGGCGUAAAACUUAGAAGACUAAGAAAAAGUUCUAAGAUAAAACAAAGAAACGCACCACAGAAGGGUGUGGACAGAAGAGAAGGGGCAUAAGAGCCGGGGACAAGAGAGUCAGCAGAAGAGCAGAAGCAGAAGAGAAAAAAGGAGCAUAAGAGAGUGAAGAGCAGAAGAGAGAAUAAGCGAGUGAGCAACCCCACUUCACUGGUUUUAUCUUCUCACACUGGGUGUGUCUGAGGAGAAAGAGGAGGGGUCAUCGGGUCUCUGAUUAUUUGAUCUAACUUAUUCUUUUGGCUGGUAAAAGAGUCAGAUCUGAUACUCACUCACUAUGAUUAAUAUCAUUGAAUGCUUGGUUUCAUGAUAAAUAAUUUGAUACUAAACACAUAUGAAUGAAGUGUAGGAUCACAUCAAACAUUCUCAUUAUGUUUUAAGUAUCACAUUGAACAUGCUAAAUUACUCUGAAAUGAAACAGAUAGUAACACAUAGAAACUGUGAACAACAAAAGAGUAAACACAUGUGAAUGAACGUCAUCAUGAUUAAUAAUGGAUUCUAAAUACUCACAUUCAGAUUAUUCAGUGACAUUAUAACCACCUAAUGGUUAAGAUACUAAAUAAAUAACUAAAAUAUAAACCAAACAUUUCUAAACUAUUUCUGUUACUUAGAGUAAACUUAGGAUUCAUAGUCAAUAAAUUUAACUCUUAAAAGUUCAUGAAACAGUCUGAAAAGCUGUUGGUCUAAAGAACUAAAGAAUAAGGAUUUAUUCUGUCAGAUAAGAUAACUUGGCUUCUGAAGCACAUAGAAAAACGGGAAACAUCUCAUUUUAACACAAAUUUCAUGAUUAGACAGAUUAGUACAUUGCUGAAUGCAUAAGAUGUCAUGAUCAGUCAUUUGUAUUCUUUCACCAAAGGAAUGCAGUCUUUAUCAGUGUAUGGUCGAGCAGGGUUUUACGACCGAGGUCUGGAGGUCAGUGUCCCCCCUUAUCCUGGGGUCCGUAUGUUCACACACUUUAAGACGCUUAAUCUCAAAUGGGAGAUCUGGGUUAAGGUUAAUGUUUAUUUAGAUGGUCAGCAAAUGGAGUCAGUUUGAAAGGUAAUAAAACUCUGUCUCUGUUCGCCGAACUGACCAAUCCUGAAGAGUCAGAGGUUUAGUCAACCUCCGGUUGGGUCACUUAUUUAACCUGAAAGGGCAAACACGUCUGGAAAGAUUUAUAUCCUGUUUCCUGGGACCAGAUAAGGAAACUUUCCUGUAAGGAAUGUGUGGGUUUCACAUCCAGGGUUGUCUUGAUUGCUACAGUCCCCCCUUCGUCACGGUGGUCCUGUCCAUGGAGCAUCGGGACGACGAGUAGACAACCAUGAAGCAGCAGCAGGUGUAUGCAAAUAGGACUGAUGCGUCUCGUCAUCACUAUGUGAAUCACUAGUACUGCUUUGAGAUAAAAUUAAGCAUGCAUUAAGCUAUCAAAUAAAAUAGUCUUGUUGUUAGACUUUUCUCAGUUAACUAUUGGUAGACUAAUGUGAAAGAAAAUCUCCUAAUUUUCAGUAUUAAUGAGAUUUAGGAAAGCACUAUUUAGUCUGAAUGCUAACUGGAUCUAAAGCUAUAGCUGUUUUUCAUGCUUGCUGGAGAAGUCUGAAAGUUCCAUUUCAGUUUCAAAAAUGGUUAAGACUUAGGUGGAAAAGAAAUGUCUGCUAUAGACAUAUUAACCAUCUGUGUAUGAGCAUAGUCAACCUGAAUCACAAACAUCAAAAGUUUACUGCACAGAGUUUCUCUUAAACUUUGUCUGUUAAACUUGGGGAUGAUGCUCUUAUUGGUUUGACUAAUUAUCUGCUGUUGAGUCUGAAAUUUGUCAAUCUGAGUCUUAGUGACAGAAAUUUCAGCUUUUAAUCUGUUCAUGGGAUAUUUGACAGCUGACAAGCUGACUAUAUUGACAGAGGAGAGACAAAUGCUAACAAAGAAAGCAGCAACUGGUAUUGCAGUCAUCAAUGUAUCACCACAGCAUUUGGAUAUCUUAUUGGAGUCAUUUAGCUUUGGCUGAGUGACUUCUGCUUUCGCAGGACUCACACCUUCAUGACUCCGCAGUGUUAAUCUCAGUGGUUAGCUGAGUGGUCAUGUUUAUUCACCUUCAAAGUGGAUGAAACCGAUUGAGGUGGAUAAUAAGAUCGUCGUUUCUGAGAGUGUGAUUUACUCUGAUUCUGCCAGUCAUUCACCCCACUUUGGCGGUGUUGAUGGUUUUUCCUUUGUCUGGGACAAAACCCACCGUGACGGGAGUCUGAAUAACAACAGUUGGUCUCAAAGUUUACCUGGCGUUGGUCUGUGUCAGAACUGGGCCUUGGUGUGUAACUUUGACCUUUGUGAGUGUGUUGAGGUCGAAAAGGUUUUGGAGGCCUGGUUAACCACUCAUUUGGAGGCUUAUCGGAGCCUGAAAAUACACAGUCUGAAGCUUCGUUCAGCUCCAUGGGCAGUGAUUUUGUCCCCAUAGCCAAGAGAGUAACGGGCUCUGCUUUCUUAGCCAAAGUUUGUCGUUGUUUGGCAAAACCUUUUACAGCAAGUUCACGAAGCUGUCGGCUAGUCAAAGUGUUUGGACAAGCUAAGACGCCAAGGUGAUGACUGGUGGUAGGGUGGAGGUUCUGGACGAACAGCGUUUUGAAGUUCAAGUCCUCCUCCAUUUCUGGUUCAUUUCGGAAACCAAAGUAAGCUUCGCGUAAGCGGUUGUAAUACUGUUGGGGAGAUUCUGAUCUCCCUUGUUUAAUAGACAGAGCAGCAGAGAGGCCUGUCUGGGUCAAAUAGUCAGAAAACUCUUCAAUUAAUGCUUGGCAGAGCAAGUCAUAAUUAUUUCUGACAUGAUAAGGCUGUCGUUCAAGGAAACUGCUAACCUCUCGACUUGACGUCGCCUUAAUAAGGUAGAUUUUGUCAUCAAUGGUUGCACCUGGAAAUUUCCUCAGGUAAAAGUCAAUGUCUUUCAAGUAGGUGCAGGUGUCAAUAGCACCUUGGUGCUCAGGUUCAAAGCGUGCUAUGAUGCGAGCAAUUUUGUCAAGAUCCCUGUCUGAGGGAAAUGGUAAGAAGCCAUCAUGAGGAGGAGAGUAGGACUCUUGGUUUAAGGAUGACCUCUCAGGGUCAAGCAGGGUCCUGUCAUGAUGCUGAGAGAGAUACUUAAGAGUUGGUUUGGAAGGAAGUGAUGGCGCUCUCUCAGGAGGCUGAUCACCUAUCAUUUCUUCAAGAAACGUUUGCUUCAUGCGUUCUCUUUGGGCUCGACCUGACUGGAGGGAGCAUCGUAACUCUCUUUGGGCAUCUUCAAGUUCUUUAUCUGUCUUUUCUUGCCGUUCUUGACAAAGAAUUAACUGUCUUUGAGCUAUCUGGAGCUGGUGCUGUAAGGUAGAAGUUUGCUUCUCCUUAACUUCAAGAGCUUCAGCACGCACUUUGACCAGUGCUUUCAAAGCUUUUACAUCUUCUGUUGCUUGCUCUAGUAGGGAUUCUGACUGUAUCAGAUCCUCUGUGGUCUUAGCAAGCUGCUUAUUCGUGUCAUCAAGUUCUUUCUCCUUUUUGUAAAGGUUUUCAUUAAGUCUUUCAAUCUUGUCUUUGAGAUCAAGAUUUUCUUCAUGACUUAUCAGUGAGGGAAGCUUUGACGCUUCACAUCUGGCACUGUGUUUUUCUAAAACACUUAAAGACUUCUUAGUCUCCUCUAGCGUCUUUUUCAGAGCGCUGUUCUCAUCUUUUUGCGCCUUUAUCUUUGCUAAAGCGCAUUCCAGCAAGUAGUCUUUAUACUCAAGCUGAGAAGACAUCAUGACAGACAUGCAUCUAGUGAGCUCUUUGUCACGAAGUGUCGUGGUUAAGGCUGUUUCCAGUAAGUCAGCCAUUUCAUCCUCCGGAUUGGAGGGUUUGGCCUUAUGAAUCUUAGUCAUGUACUGAGGUAUCAGCUGACUAAUUAAGUUUGCUAACACUGUGUGUAUGUCCCUCAGGGGGUCUCCCUGGCUGGACUCUUUUGUGUUAGGCAUGUUUGGUUUUGGUAAAGAGGUGCAGGUGGUUGGUUGAUGAGUUUGAGUUGACUUAAAAUGAAAGGAAGAAGCAAAGUAUCAAAUUAAGUGGGUUAAUCGACUUAAUUUAUCAGUGCUUGAUAAAGAGGAAGAGCCUAUCUGAGUAGAUCUCUAAUGGAGAGAAAAAUAACAUAAAGUUAAAUUCAUUUCAAUGAAAAUUGAAAUAAAACAAGGUGAAAUAAUGUUAAAUUAAAUUUAACAUCAGAUACAGAACCAUUGAAUAAAGGGUUCAAUUUGUCUCCGUGUUGCAGAGAUCAGCAAAGCUUAAAUAAACUGCCUGAUGCAGUUGGAUGAAUUUGAAAAAUCAAUGAAAUUGUCAAUUUAAGGAAUUAACUCUGAAAUUAAUUCACAAAUCGCAAUAAAUCCAAAGAUUCAACUACCCAAUUCAUCUGGAAUGGUAAAAUAGAUUUGAAAUAUUAAUUAAUUAGUUCAUUAAUUAAUUAAUCUUAUGAGGAGGGUUAAUACAUUCAUGUAUUAUAGGGAACAGUAAAACUGCUCAAUGGUGUGAUAAGUAACAACAAGAUCAGGUGAUUGAUUCAAGGAGUUACUUUAUCAAUACAUUAUGUAGGCUCUUAUAACAAAGAUAAAAAUCAAAAUCAAUGAUCAAUGAUUUAGAAUAAGCACAUCAAACUUCAUCAACCAAGUCAAUCACUUGAAUUAUGUCUGUAGAGUGUUACACACUGACUACAGGGAGGCAGUACAGCUGGCUGAUACUGCAGGCAGAUAACAUUGUUAGCUCAAUACCAAAAGCAACCAUGUGGGGCAGUAUGGAGUUGGGGUAACUGCACAAGCUCAACACAAGUGGAGAAGAAGAAGAGAAGAGGAAACAGUCAUCCAACUAGCCUCUUGUGGCUGUGAGGAGUUGGGAAGUGUGCAGGAAGGGGCCUUUAGGCUCUGCCUCCUUGAAGGGCCUUAUCUGCUUAAGGCCAAAGGGUCAGUCUCUCCACUGACAACAAAGGGUUAACAUUUCACAGCAGGCUGCGUCUGCACCCUCAAACAUAGAACUUUACACCAUCUGCUCAGGCAGAUUGGUUCAAUAAAAUCAUUUACAGGAACAAGAAUCGAAGUGACAAAUCCUUAAACAGCAGAUUCAACUGCAGACUUUAAAAUCACAAAUGCGGCGAUUUGUGAUCACGGAUUUUGUCUGAAUUCAUUCAAACAACAACCUCCCACUGUUACAGUGGUUUCCUGUGACAGGUAGUUAAUCUGUCAGGGGAAAGGAGGAAAUCUGAAUCCCAUAUAGUUACUAGAACUUCGUAGCCGACUAUAGAGACAAGAAUCAAAGUGACAAAUCCCUCAACAGCAGAUUCAACUGCAGACUUUAAAAUCACAAAUGCGGCGAUUUGUGAACACAAAUUUUGUCUGAAUUCAAUCAAACAACAACCUCCCACUGUUACAGUGGUUUCCUGUGACAGGUAGCUAAUCUGUCAGGGGAAAGGAGGAAAUCUGAAUCCCAUAUAGUUACUAGAACCUCGUAGCAGACUACAGAGACUUCAGGGGCUUGAAACCACAGCUCGGAGCAUCGCGAACACUGGGUUCAGCCAAAGGCCUUAAAUACAAGCGUACGGCGACGCAACAAUCGUGCACUUAAAUAUUGGACAGUCUAGACAGAGCAGAGGAGUCAGUCUCACUGCUACUCAGAACAACAUUUCACGCUGUCCAGCUCAAACACAGACUACAGGCAUGUAGUACAAAAGUGUGUGAAACACAGAGCAUAAAGGUUUUAUGCAUAGAUCAGGAAAACAUCAGAACUUAGUCAAGCAACUUCAGCAAGCAUAGCAUUGAUUGUGAUCAAGUCUAAACAGCCUGGAAAUAAGUUUCUCUCAUCAAUUUGGAAGGCUAAGUUUUAGGUUGUCUGUUAGUAUCCAGAAGUUUUGUUUGAAACGCCUCACGCAGGGGCACCAAAAUAUAUGUAGUGAUUUGAAAUGAGCCUCAUACGGUCGCACCAAAAUAUAUGUAGCGAUUUGAAAUGAGCCUCACAAGGCCGCACCAAAAUAAUACUUGGCGAUUGGAAUUUAUAAUAAAUGUCUGAAGAUUAAUAAUCUCAAAUUAUGACAUUUAUGCACUCGUUGAAAGGGGCACCACCCACCCUUAAUGGUGGGAAAAUAAAGAAAACAAAAGUUUAAUUCAGAAAUCAAACAUCAAGUCAGUUUUAAUUAAUCAGUCUUAAUUAAUCAGUCUUAAUUAAUCAGUCUCAUAUCUUAAGUCGAAAUUCUAAUUUCAGGGACUCCACUUCUGGAAGAACACUAACAGACAGGAACUUAGAAAAAUAAUGAUCUGUUUAUUACAGGAUAAAUGAUGGUACAACACACAUGCAAUAAAUGAUGAUAAGAUAAUGAAGAUAAAAUAAUAAUAGGUGAAUAAAUAAAGAUUCUGAGUCAGGCUAGGAGCACUAAAGUUAAUGAUAGUGAGUGAAUAUGCGCUAACAUAUUAACCUACACUAACUUUGGUGUCGAGAUAAACUCGGAUGUGGAUUUGGAGGAAUCUAAGAUCACCAGAAAUAGGUGGAUAUCUGAGUUAUGAACGCAUGAGACAGCACCAGCCCUCUCUGGAGCUCUGGAGGUUUGCAUACUUAAGUGAGACUGGUCCUUGGAGAAGAUGGAGCAGGUUCCGAAGGUCCGGGGCUACUGGCGGUUCGAGCGGUUCAGCUCAGAAGACGACUGAAGUCAGCCGAAGGAUGAGCCAGGAGUUGCAGCACUCGGGCCCGAAGCAAAGCCAGCGCCUGUGGAUCCUGUGGAUGCUCGUUUGGGUACUUCUUUGGUCUCACUCAAAAACUCUGGCACAGAGGAUGACCUGGGCCUGCUGGGUUGCGUUCAGAGGUGACUUUGAAUCACGCAGAAAACUCAGAAAAACGAGGCUCAAAGAGCAGAGAAAACUUUCAAAAAUGGCUUCGCGAAAUUAAAGAAAAAUCAAUCAAAGGCUUAAUCUUGAAUUGCUAUGUGCACAAAAAGUUGAAGUUUCAAAACUUGAACUAAGACGAUGUUAAAGAAAAAUCAACGUGAAUCAACACGUGGCGUAAAACUUAGAAGACUAAGAAAAAGUUCUAAGAGAAAACAAAGAAACGCACCACAGAAGGGUGUGGACAGAAGAGAAGGGGCAUAAGAGCCGGGGACAAGAGAGUCAGCAGAAGAGCAGAAGCAUAAGAGAAAAAAAGGAGCAUAAGAGAGUGAAGAGCAGAAGAGAGAAUAAGCGAGUGAGCAACCCCACUUCACUGGUUUUAUCUUCUCACACUGGGUGUGUCUGAGGAGAAAGAGGAGGGGUCAUCGGGUCUCUGAUUAUUUGAUCUAACUUAUUCUUUUGGCUGGUAAAAGAGUCAGAUCUGAUACUCACUCACUAUGAUUAAUAUCAUUGAAUGCUUGGUUUCAUGAUAAAUAAUUUGAUACUAAACACAUAUGAAUGAAGUGUAGGAUCACAUCAAACAUUCUCAUUAUGUUUUAAGUAUCACAUUGAACAUGCUAAAUUACUCUGAAAUGAAACAGAUAGUAACACAUAGAAACUGUGAACAACAAAAGAGUAAACACAUGUGAAUGAACGUCAUCAUGAUUAAUAAUGGAUUCUAAAUACUCACAUUCAGAUUAUUCAGUGACAUUAUAACCACCUAAUGGUUAAGAUACUAAAUAAAUAACUAAAAUAUAAACCAAACAUUUCUAAACUAUUUCUGUUACUUAGAGUAAACUUAGGAUUCAUAGUCAAUAAAUUUAACUCUUAAAAGUUCAUGAAACAGUCUGAAAAGCUGUUGGUCUAAAGAACUAAAGAAUAAGGAUUUAUUCUGUCAGAUAAGAUAACUUGGCUUCUGAAGCACAUAGAAAAACGGGAAACAUCUCAUUUUAACACAAAUUUCAUGAUUAGACAGAUUAGUACAUUGCUGAAUGCAUAAGAUGUCAUGAUCAGUCAUUUGUAUUCUUUCACCAAAGGAAUGCAGUCUUUAUCAGUGUAUGGUCGAGCAGGGUUUUACGACCGAGGUCUGGAGGUCAGUGUCCCCCCUUAUCCUGGGGUCCGUAUGUUCACACACUUUAAGACGCUUAAUCUCAAAUGGGAGAUCUGGGUUAAGGUUAAUGUUUAUUUAGAUGGUCAGCAAAUGGAGUCAGUUUGAAAGGUAAUAAAACUCUGUCUCUGUUCGCCGAACUGACCAAUCCUGAAGAGUCAGAGGUUUAGUCAACCUCCGGUUGGGUCACUUAUUUAACCUGAAAGGGCAAACACGUCUGGAAAGAUUUAUAUCCUGUUUCCUGGGACCAGAUAAGGAAACUUUCCUGUAAGGAAUGUGUGGGUUUCACAUCCAGGGUUGUCUUGAUUGCUACAAGGGCCAUAGAAGUUCGUGUCUGCAGGGUCAGGGUCAUGGUGUUCACGUACAAGAGUUGGUUCUAGGAGAGGAGUCAUUUUUGAUCAACGCAUCAGGAGUCAGCAGCAUGGCCUGUUGGCUACAGUCUAACAAGCACAGGCUUCUGGAGUUGAUACGAUUGGUUAACAGAAAGGGCAAGGAUGGUGCCGAAUCACUUAAAGGGGAACUUCACUAUUUUUCAGCCUGGGCCCUAUUUUGCCACGUUUUGUGUGUGUUUGACUGAUGAGGAGGACAAUUUCAGAAAUUGGUCCAGCAGCUGGAAACUACGAAUUGAGCUAAGCUGUAGUUUGACCUGGCAAUUGUCGCAUCGUCAAACUGCGUCCACUACAGGUGUGAUUAUCAGUAACAUAUGCAGUGAUCAAUAAGGUUACAGAGAAAAGUGCUUUAUUUGGACUUGUAUGCCAACAGGGCUGCCAACAUAUAUUGUCACUAAAGUUUGUGAACUGCAGUAGGCUGGUCUGAGCUAUGAAACCUCCUGGCUGACAAUCAGUCUCACUCUGACUCUGACGUGCAUCAAUCUGAACUGAAAAAAAAAAAAGUGUUGCACUUUUUCAGUCCUCUACCAGCUACACUCACAUGUAGCAUAACCUUUACACCUUUGAUUACAUUCAGUCUGUCUUUCCCUUGCAGCAAGCCUGCUGUCAUGUGGCCCAGCUUGGUAAUCAUUUACUGAGACUGAGGGAGCGGCUCAAGAAUGACAGGCUAACAUUCGUCUUCUCAGGCGCCAUCUUGUUCUGUGUGUCACCUCCCAACCGCAGCCUCUGCUGCCUCUCAUUACAUGAACCCAAGAUCACAGUCAAAUGGAGAUAUUAGAGUGGGAGGACUGUUUUGCUUCAAUGAUAAUUAACCUUGUCAACAAGGAAGAUGAGGGAGUCUGGUAUAGGGAAGUUUGUGCCUGUGAAGUUCUCUUCAUUUUGCAGUAGUGAAGAGCAAACAAGACGUUUCUUUUUCAAGUAUGACAUUGUACCAACUAGUAAAUCCAGUCAGUUUGUGCAUAUUAUUUGGUUUAGUUUCAGUUCAGAGCAAAUGUGUAGCUUCAUUUGAAUGUUUUGGGAGACACCAUGAAUUCAUUUUUAAUUCAUUUGACACAAUUAUAUACUAUAUACUUAUUUCCUAAGCUUACUUUUCUUUGCUCCAUGCUGGUAUUGCUUUAAUUAAACUAACCACAAUUCAAUAGUUAUGUCACACGCUCAAGAAAUUGACAGAGUGUAUUAGAAAUACACUGCAGCCCUCAGUCUCAGAUAGCAGAGACAGACAGAGGGACAGAGCGUCUUAAAUGUGGCUGAGGAUAAUUCAUGGGUAGUUCACUUGAAGGGCCAUGUCCCCACUGUCCCUGUCCAAUUCUACACCCUUGAGCUGCGCCAUUUAAUAUCAAUUUAGUACUCCAGUCUGCUUUAGUUUCAAAGGUAUCAAGUGAAAUUUCGUCUUUAACCUUGUGUUCUUACUGCUGGACACAAACGAGCGAGAAAAGUGGGGAAACAAUCUCCACGAAAUCUGACCUUGGUGGUUCCUCAGCAGGGCUUGGAUAACCCCUUUUUCAUUCCUUGGACUUUUGAUAUUCAACACAAACUUUUUCGCUAGUUGUCAACCUUGAAAAUACUGUUGUAUUGAGCUGUGUUUAAUGAACAGACAGUGGCUCUGUAGAGACUUCCUGAAGAUAGCAAAAGAAAGAGAGGUCCUUACUUUGUUGUAUUUUAUUUUUGAAAUCUACAAUAAAACUCUAUUGUAUCAAAUAUGGGGGAUUUUGGAUAUUUCAGUGAAGUUACUUUGGCAAGCUACUGCUUCUUUUUUUUUUGCUAAUCUAACUCAUAAAUAAAAGUUAUAUGACCUGUAUGUUUAUUAAUACUGAAACUAGGAAAUUUAUUUUGAUUAUUAUUAUUAUAUUAUUUUUUUUAUCAGAUACCCGUGCACAUGCACACACGCAUAAACAUUACGAACAUACACAGUUUUCUAAAUUCCCUAAGGCCCCACAUCAUGCAUUCAUAUAAGUUAACUUUCCUUUAACUCGCUGUACAGUUUUGAGUGGUUGUCAUGUAGAUGGGUCAUCAUGUUGGGAGUGUUUCUACCCUUCACAGAAUUUUUUUUGGCAUUUUCGGCAAACUGGUUGGCCAUCCUCAAUCAGUGUCUCUUCUGAGUCUUUGUAAAAGCGAUAACACACAAGUGCUGAAGGAAACUCAGAUGCCUAUGCUCAGUUUUCCCCUUACAGGUACUUCAGCUUUAUUUGACAUCAAGCAAUAAGUGCUUUCAGCCAAGCAUCACAGCACAUGGUCGCUGGAGAGUGCUCCUCUCUUGGGUGAAGAGUGAAAAACAGCUAGUAAUACCAGACACAGAGAGAGAGAGGGGGAUUGACGUGAAGUGAGUCAUGAUUUGUAACAAACAUACACUCCACAGGUGGACAGCAUGUGCCUCUUCAUGCUCUGCAUCAAUGGCUCUUUUACCUGCACAGUAUAUGUCCCAGCAGGGUAGCCUAGCAUCUGUACGAUAUCCCAGCAGCAGCAGCAGAGUACAUUUAUCUGUGCGCUGUAUCUGCUUUCUACUGACAAGUAAAUCAUCUCUUCGCCUGCUGUGACAGCACAAUCCUGAUGUCUGUCACUUCUACCGACCGAGCAACGGCCACACACACGCACAAUGAACACACACAGGAAGGGACAGGCAAUCUCAUUACACACACGUCCCAGCAUCCACAAACUGGCACACGCACACACACACACAAACACUUUUUGUCAGAGGGGAUCCUCGCCCACUCAAGGGCAGAGCGGUGACACCUCAUCAUGAGCCAAAUGAAGCAAGAGUGGCAAGGAGAGGAGGAGGGAGAGGAAAAGAGGAGAGAUGGAGGGAUGGAUGGAGCGGAACGGCAGAGCAAUAUGGAGAGGGAUGAGUGGCGCUAUAUGCCAGAGAGACGACCGGCGCCAGGCGGCAGAUUUCAGGGGCAUGAAAUAGGCUCUGGGAAUCGUGGAGAGGGCAGCUGGAGAGGGGAGAGGGAGAGAGUGGAAAAUUGAGAGAUUGUUUUUGCAUAUUUGAAAACUUUCUUUGAAUACCUGCAACAAUCAAAUCUGUGAAAUAAUCGAAUCAUUUCAGCAGCAGCAGCAGAUUUUGUGGUUUUGUCAUGCUCGAUUGAUUAAUAUGUGGUUUAUUUUUAACAAACUGUGCUUCACUUUAUUUCUUGUCUUUUGAAAUUAUUCUUAAUGUUCGAGUGUCUAAAUUUAAAAAAACUGACUUUAAGAGGAAUUGGAAAACAAUGAGCUCUCAUUAAGAUGCUGUCGACAGCUCGCUUCUCCUUCAAUUACAAGGAGAGCAUUCACACCUGACAAGGAAAUGUGCCUCAUUCAUGCAUAUAAAAAUUGGAUUUCUUCUUCUUCUUCUUUCUGUAAAACACAGAUGCCACUUUAAGUCCAAUUUCCCCAUUCUGUAAUAGUUACUUUAAAUACAUCACACCCUGCUUGAGCACACGCUGAGAUUGAUGCCUGUCUGAGAUUUUGAUGAUUGAAGUAAGACUGAUGUUCACUUCCACUUCUUCUUUUGCAGUUGUAAUUUUGAUGUUUCUGAAUGCAAAUGUGAUCUUUAUUCAAAUUCAAAUCCAUUUUAAAGCAUUUCUAUUUGCAUUCACGACAAACAUGUUUGAAUAAAAAAAAGGGAGACACAGUUGGAGGUAAUAUUAAAAAAAAGGAGAAAAAGAACAGCAGAAAGAGUAAAAAACGGAGUACGACUGACCUAAGACAGAAUGGGUAAGGUCUUGUCGCUACCUGUCCCUAUAACUCUGAAGCGAGAGAGUGAAGGAUAGAGAGAGAGAUGGAGUGAUGGAGAGGAGGACAGAGGUGCUGUGUCUCGCCUCAGAGAGCCACAGAUGGAGAGUGAUGAUAAUGCAGCAGGAGACAGAGGACAGAGGGAGAGGAGAGAGGGGUGAAAAGGGGGAAGAGAAGGAGGUAAUCGUGAUGUGUAAAAAGUAAGAUCAUGCAGAUAGGAAGACAGAGCUGAGUUUGGAAGUAAGACAAUAAAAGUCUGAAGUUGCUCAGCCAGACUUUAUAUUAUCACUUGUAAAACUGCCCCUAAAUGAGACAUCUGGAUAUAAUUCAGGCAGAAUUCUUGUAGGGGAAAACUAGCAAAUUCAAUCCUGAUUUCACAGGAUGGAAAAUUAAAGCAAUAACGUGUCUUGUACUUUGUUUCAUAUCAGAUUUUUCACUCUUAUAAAAACACAAUCAGCUUCCACAUUUGCCAUUUGACUGAGCAUCAGUCUGAUUAGCUUUACAUUAGCAGAUGGCAUUUAUCAGCAUCUCUCUUCAUUUUUUUUUCACAGCAAUCAGACUCUUUUUUUUUUUUUUGCUUGUUCUUGUUACGCAGGAAUGAGCUGUAACAAAUAUUGCAGGUGUGGGGCUGGGGGAUGGGAGAUGAAGGUCUGGAUUACAGCCUGAUUGGAAAUGGGCAGAGCCACGUUUUAUUGCUUUACUGAAGGAGGCAACAGAAAUAAUGAGCACAGCCACACUUUGCUCGCUGAGGAUGAGGGGAAGAAGUGAUGACUGAUGGGGACAGAUCGUGCCACAGUUCUUCAGUUAAAGGCUGAAGGGCUACAGAGUGAGGCUUCUACCCACAAGGCAGGGCUCUCACAAAUGAGAACACAGAGUGCCUGGUGCACACACACUCCUGGCUGAGAUGUAACCACCCACAGAGAUGGUCAGGCAUCACAUCUCUGCAGUUUGUUUCAUGCUGAGCUGCUGUGUUUACGCCAUGUGAUACAUUUCUUCCUCUUUUGGGUCAAAGUGACUAGAUAGAUAAUUUACCCAUGAAUGUGAUGUAAAUGGUCCCACGUUAAAUAUGGUGGAAUAGCAGAAUAAGAUUGAACAAAAAGGUAAUAUUCUAGUAAAGUACAUUGACUCCUGGUUUGCUUGGCUGACAUACAAAUGAAGGACCAAAAUGAGACACCUAACCAGCUUUUCCCCUCUAACAAAGGUCUCACCAAGCAGGUCUCUGCAGCCUUUGACUGGCUCCCUAUGGCUGCAUUUGGGUAGAAUGAAACCAACUUUGGACCCAGCUGAAAACUAUGUUUACUGGUGAAGUAGUAAGCUAAUUUCAUGUGGGCCCAACUCCAACCAAAUGAAAAACCCACUCAGAGCUAAAGACCUAUUGAGGACUAUUAGGUGAAGAGUGUGUAAACUGGAAGGCUGUGUCGGCUUGUAACUUAUUUCAGUGAGAUUUUAUAUGAACCCACCUCCUAUAAUGCAUUAUUAGCCAUAUAUAAAGCCUCUUAAGCGCAUUUAAGCUGUAUUACAAUCCGUAUGAGCGAAUAUAAUCAUUCAUGACAACCUAUAGCAAUGUUCAUAAAGUUUUAAAAGCAGUGAGCAUAAUUCCUUAUAAAGGUAUGAUUAUACCCAAAUGCAAGAGGGAAAAUUUAUUCAUGUAUCUUUGUAUACAGCCAUAAAAUUGUUAUAAAAAUAUAUGACUUAUUACCUCAUACAGUGCUGUCACUUUACUUAAAGUGCCCAAAGUCCUGCUUAAGUAUGUUGUGAGUAAUUAAUAAGACAUUUUCUGAACUAAGAAUUAUGAUUAUAACUUUUAUGACACAUGAAAAGAGAUUUAUGUGUUAUUAAAUCUAGAGUUCAAAAGAGUUUUUUUCUUAUGUGUUAGGGUAUAAUGCAUUAACCGUAUCUUUUUAAGGCUUUAUGAACAUUGCUAUAUGCUGUUAUGAAUGCUUAUAAUCGCUUUUAUAAGCUUUUUUAUUGUUUUCAAGCCCUAUAGAUGCAAGAAACUGGGCAGUCAGAACAGCUGCAACAACAUCAUCAUUGUAUAUGAUAAGGAUUUGUAGUAAGCUGUGUAUUGUUAAAACCUUUAUUUAUUCUCAAGAGAUAUUGAGGUUACCCUCAUUUUCAAUGUCAUCGAGUUUACAAGCCAUUAAAAUACUGACAGUGCUUACAGUCAUUUGGAAGUGAUUACAUGACAGUAUACAUUUACCAGGAAACAGAAAGACAGCCAUCCAAAACAGUUAUAAUUGGAAACACCACUAUUCAUGACCAAGGUCCUAAACUCUGUGAGUGACGGGAGCCUGUCCAAUCUCAGGAUGUGCUGUGACGCUUUCCAAGAGCUAGAGGCAUCAUAACAAAAAGCAGUCUCGCCAAUAUUUGUAUAGACUCGAGGAACUUUGAGUAGCAGUAAUUCAGCUGAAGGAGUCAUGUAAGUGCCUGAGUUCCAUUCUGGCAUAUUUGCUAAAUAUUGUGGUAGUUUGCCUAAAAGGAUCUUAAAAGAAAUGAAAGAAAGAAAUGUAAGGAUAUAAUUUUUGUCAGAGGCAUUACUUUAACUUGUUCAAAAAAAUUCAGCACAGAGAUGAGAAGUUCAGCUUGUCAGAGGGCACUACAAUAUAUGCAACCUCACAGGAAUAGAAUAGACUUAUACUACAAUUGGCACAGGUAACAGACAGUCCAGGUACAUUGGAAUUUUUGUGCCGCACCUAUAAUAAUAAUAAUAAUUCUAGUAAUAAUAAUAAUAAUAAUAAUAAUAAUAAUAAUAAUAAUAGCAGCCUCCAGGGCAAAGUAAGCAUUGUGUCAUGACUAAAUAAUUCGUUUCGUGCCAAAAAAUAUCAAAAUUAUGUGCUCUGCAAUAUUUCUUUUUAAAUGAACAUUUAUCCACUGAGACGAUGAUGUUCUGGACUGCACUUCAACAGACCACUAAGCCUUUUAAUCGGGGGGACUCUGCCCUGUAGAAAAGCAGCUUCCUUGACAGCUGUGGGGAUGCAUCACUGCUCCCAUUGUACUUUUGCACAGUGUAAGAGUGUCUGAUGUGUUUUUGGAGUUGGAGGAUUUUUUUUUUUCUUUCCAGCAGCACCAGUUUCAGAGUAAGGUUUGAUCCGCGUGUUGCCCCUCCAGCUUAUUACUUCUGCACAUGUUCGCUCUGAAACAGCUCUGCGCAUUGUUUGUGGCACAAAAGGGGAGAUGGCCAGGUGUUCAUUCUUGGAAUUGAAACCAGUGCCUCAUAGUAGAAUAACUUAUUCCCUUUCUUUCUGACAUGAAAGAGUUUUAUUUUGAAAUUGUGUUGUUGAUUUCCCAUGUAGAAAUCUCUUGAUCUUGCCCUUAUACCUGCUUUUGAUGCUGCACUUGUAUUUGUCUUUGUUGUGUGUGUGAGAGAGUUCGGAGCGGUGUGUGUUGGUGGAUUUGAGGGGCAUAUGCCUGCAUCUGUAUGGUUUGAUGUUGGUUGUUUGUUGGUGUUUGAGCUUUUCCCAUCCCUCCUACACAUUCCAUCCUUCCUCUGCACGCUGCAAACAAAUUUGAACUUGUAAAGACCUCAGGCAUUCUCAAAUCAAAUCUCCAACAUCAUCUUUGAGCCUGCAGCAAGGCAGCCUACCUCUGUGUCCCAAAGUCACCCUGACGUCUUUACAGAGACAGCUUCUUAACAAGGUGAGUUUUUUCCUCUCUGAAAGGCAGAUGAAAGCCACUUGGAAUAACAAGCCAACUAUCAGCAGCCAA
rnacentral:lncRNA from 1 species